rnacentral:lncRNA from 1 species
AAAAUAUUAAUCUUUUUUGUGAAAAUAUUAAUUUUCUAAAUUUUUUAAAUAUCAAUGAGUUGUUACGAUGACAAAUCUCUCUUAAAAAACUUUGCGCCGAAAGACACCGACACCGUGAUUCCAGACUCGAUUGCUUUUUUCUUUUCAUUUUCAUAAUUAAUUUGUUUCCUAUUUAUGCCAUACGAAACUUGAGCUGAAGAUGGUUUAAUUGAAUUUUCACUGUUCA